rnacentral:rRNA from 1 species
UGGGGAAUAUUGCACAAUGGGCGCAAGCCUGAUGCAGCCAUGCCGCGUGUGUGAAGAAGGCCUUCGGGUUGUAAAGCACUUUCAGCGGGGAGGAAGGCGUUAAGGUUAAUAACCUUGGCGAUUGACGUUACCCGCAGAAGAAGCACCGGCUAACUCCGUGCCAGCAGCCGCGGUAAUACGGAGGGUGCAAGCGUUAAUCGGAAUUACUGGGCGUAAAGCGCACGCAGGCGGUCUGUCAAGUCGGAUGUGAAAUCCCCGGGCUCAACCUGGGAACUGCAUUCGAAACUGGAAGGCUAGAGUCUUGUAGAGGGGGGUAGAAUUCCAGGUGUAGCGGUGAAAUGCGUAGAGAUCUGGAGGAAUACCGGUGGCGAAGGCGGCCCCCUGGACAAAGACUGACGCUCAGGUGCGAAAGCGUGGGGAGCAAACAGG